AGAAACAGAUACACUAGCCUUCUAGACUGACCUCAUCAGAUCUCAGUAGCAAAGCAACCCUGGGCCUGGUCAGUACUGGGAUAGGAGACCUCCAAGGAACCAGUUUUGUGUUGU
rnacentral:rRNA from 1 species